UCAGAUUCGAAUUCGUAAGACAUGGUCGUACCAAUCAUUCAUAGAUUAUUAUUAGGCACUUCGUAGUCAAAGCAGGAUUUUCCAAGUCUUCGUUAGCCGGCCAUUCAUACGCCGCCGAAUCAAACACUGGGCUUCAGCUUCGAGACGCAGGGCUUUGCCACAAAUCGAGUCGUAUCCAAGCAUUACCGAGGCGUCGUCGAGACAGACCAAGUCCAAUCCCACCCAGACAGCACCCCUUGGAAUAUCAGAACCCAACAAGCCAUCGUCAUCCUUCGACCUGGCCAUCGACAACAAGGAAUUUCCCUAUGGCAAACAAGGGAGGGGCCACGCGGGCUACUAGACUCUAAAAAGAUAUCGUUGUUGUUAGGUUCAAGAUAGAUACAAAUGUUUUCCACUAGUUUAUUCAUUUAUACUAAGCUAAGUUUUGAUGAAUAAAACUUUUGAAAAAUCA